GACAGAGGGUGCAAACGUUUGUUCGGAAUUACUGGGCGUAAAGCGCGUGUAGGCUGCUCGGAAAGUCGGAUGUGAAAGCCCUGGGCUCAACCUAGGAAGUGCAUUCGAAACUUCUGAGCUGGAGUGCUGGAGAGGAAGGCGGAAUUCUCGGUGUAGAGGUGAAAUUCGUAGAUAUCGAGAGGAACACCGGUGGCGAAGGCGGCCUUCUGGACAGUUACUGACGCUGGAGACGCGAAAGCGUGGGGAGCAAACAGG
rnacentral:rRNA from 1 species